CAAGAAACACUUCAAAGGAGUCACUGGGAUGCACAUAAAAUACCCACACUCUUAGGCAGUGCUCUACCAGUGACUGUUAAGUAUAUGAUAUCCUCAGUCAAGCUACGGUAAGCUCAUUCAUUUUCAUAAAGAAUUCUUGCUUGAACUUCCAAACUGUACCCUGCAAUGCAGUGUAAUUUGUGUAGACACAGCAUUCUGCUUCUAGCUACUUAUCAGUCCAUUUUUAUGACACUUUUAACUGCAGGGCGUGGGCUCCCUGAUACAGACCAGACCUUGAAGAACAGCAAUUCCUCGUCAGAGUUUUAGUCCAGCGGCACCAUUCCGUACAAGAGCAGUUAUAUUUUAGGAAACUGGGACAAGAGGUCAAGGCUGGGAGUGCUUCGGGACUGGCUGGAUCAUGGUUUUUGGAGACAGGCCUGGAAAUGGAGUGUGGCACUAGAAGAGAAGAACUUCGUUUCCAGGUCAGCAUCACAAGACGCAUGAAAGAGGACUCAUCGCCAGGGCAUGGAGCUGGUGUUUUGAUCAAAAUGGAAUUUGCUCUCAAAUAGACAUGUAUUCACUAAUCUCCUUUCUUUUAAAUAAGUAAAUAAAACAAACACAAAAUCUCUUCCAGCUCAGCUGACUAAGUCCUAGUGGGGAUGACAGCAACAUUCACUUGCAAGAUCCCACAGAGCUAGUGUCCAAA
rnacentral:lncRNA from 1 species